UUUUCCGAGGAGCGUUGCGACGGACCGUUCUGCGUCCGCCAGGCUCGGAAGGCUUCACCAGGCGCCGGCGCGGCAUUGUCCGUCGGCUUCGCCUCCUGAACGGCGCUCACGUCAC
rnacentral:ncRNA from 2 species